AGUAUUUUGCUUUUAAACUGCACCUCCUUGACUGGUGCUGGUGUGGGAUGUUCCGGGAUGGUUAAUGUAAAUGUUGUGCGAAUUAUAUUGCACAGUGCAUCAUUCAUUAGCGGAGUGGUCAGCUGAUGCUCUCUGCCAGUAAAUUGUGACUGGGUUGUGUCACCAGAUAUAAAAGGAGUCUCUGAGAACAGCAGGGACACAAAGCAGUGUGCCCCAUUCACAGGGAAACAAGACCAGAGUACAC